GUUCGGUAUUAUGAUUUAACUGUAAAGAGGAUGACACGAAUUGAAUUUAUUCCUGUAAACUAAUUUAAGUUUAACACCUGUUGCACGACAUUAUGUAAAUGAAGCAAUACGGGAUUGUAGCGAGCCGGAAUAUGCUUUCGAUACGAUGGAACUGCGGCACAUUUCAACUGCAUUAUCGUUGCGGCGUGAAUUCAGUGAACGCAGUCAAUCGAAUAACCUACAUGAAAGCAUAUUUUAUUUCACCCUGAAGGAUCCGAGUUCGAUUUCGGGCGGAUGGCCGCGUGGUAAUGCUGUGGUUUACCAUCCUGGAGGAUCCGGGUCCCACACCAACAAUUUUUCAGGAGAAGUCCGGAUCCGGCCGUUGAACUCCAACCUUCAAUCAUCCGGUUGAUCCCAUCAUGGGUGUUGGCCAGCCUUUAAUGGACUAUAUAAGUGGCCG
rnacentral:lncRNA from 1 species